AGCGAGCGCAGACGGUUACUUAAGCAGGAUGUGAAAUCCCCGGGCUCAACCUGGGAACUGCGUUCUGAACUGGGUGACUAGAGUGUGUCAGAGGGAGGUAGAAUUCCACGUGUAGCAGUGAAAUGCGUAGAGAUGUGGAGGAAUACCGAUGGCGAAGGCAGCCUCCUGGGAUAACACUGACGUUCAUGCUCGAAAGCGUGGGUAGCAAACAGGAUUAGAUACCCUGGUAGUCCACGCCCUAAACGAUGUCAAUUAGCUGUUGGGCAACUUGAUUGCUUAGUAGCGUAGCUAACGCGUGAAAUUGACCGCCUGGGGAGUACGGUCGCAAGAUUAAAACUCAAAGGAAUUGACGGGGACCCGCACAAGCGGUGGAUGAUGUGGAUUAAUUCGAUGCAACGCGAAGAACCUUACCUGGUCUUGACAUGUACGGAAUCCUCCAGAGACGGAGGAGUGCCUUCGGGAGCCGUAACACAGGUGCUGCAUGGCUGUCGUCAGCUCGUGUCGUGAGAUGUUGGGUUAAGUCCCGCAACGAGCGCAACCCUUGUCAUUAGUUGCCAUCAUUAAGUUGGGCACUCUAAUGAGACUGCCGGUGACAAGCCGGAGGAAGGUGGGGAUGACGUCAAGUCCUCAUGGCCCUUAUGACCAGGGCUUCACACGUCAUACAAUGGUCGGUACAGAGGGUAGCCAAGCCGCGAGGUGGAGCCAAUCUCACAAAACCGAUCGUAGUCCGGAUUGCACUCUGCAACUCGAGUGCAUGAAGUCGGAAUCGCU
rnacentral:rRNA from 1 species